AGCAGCCGCGGUAAUUCCAGCUCCAAUAGCGUAUAUUAAAGUUGUUGCAGUUAAAAAGCUCGUAGUUGAAUUUCGGGGUUAGUAGGUUGGUCGUGCCAAUGGUAUGCACUGGCCUCACUGAUUCCUCCUUCUUGAUGAACCUUAAUGCCAUUAAUUUGGUGUUUUGGGGAAUCUGGACUGUUACUUUGAAAAAAUUAGAGUGUUUAAAGCAAGCUAACGCUUGAAUACAUUAGCAUGGAAUAAUGAAAUAGGACGUUCGGUCUUAUUUUGUUGAUUUCUAAGAUUGACGUAAUGAUUAAUAGGGAUAGUUGGGGGCAUUAGUAUUCAAUUGUCAGAGGUGAAAUUCUUGGAUUUAUUGAAGACUAACUACUGCGAAAGCAUUUGCCAAGGAUGUUUUCAUUAAUCAAGAACGAAAGUUAGGGGAUCGAAGACGAUCAGAUACCGUCGUAGUCUUAACCAUAAACUAUGCCGACUAGGGAUCGGAUGAUGUUAAUUUUUUAAUGACUCA
rnacentral:rRNA from 1 species